UACGGUAGGGACCGAGCGUUGUCCGGAUUCAUUGGGCGUAAAGAGCUCGUAGGCGGCCACUCAAGUCGAAUGUGAAACCUCGAGGCUUAACCUCGGAAGCCUGCAUUUGAUACUGGGCGGCUAGAGGUCUGGUAGGGGGAUCGUGGAAUUCCUGGUGUAGCGGUGGAAUGCGCAGAUAUCAGGAGGAACACCGGUGGCGAAGGCGGGAUCCUGGGCCAGUACUGACGCUGAGGAGCGAAAGCGUGGGAGCAACAGG
rnacentral:rRNA from 1 species